rnacentral:lncRNA from 12 species
AUGCUACACACAAGGAAUUCUGCUGGAGAGCCCUGGAGGUUAUCUGAUAUAAUUACACAACAUUCAAGUGCAGGAGUGCAGGAAGAAGUGAUAAAAUCAAGAACAGCUUUAAUGAGGCCAGAAAAGGAAGAAAAAUGGAGUCAACUCAGGGGAACUUCAAGGUCCUUUUGGUGCUAUUCAAGCAAAGAAAUGGGAAUACUGCUAAAACAGGAGGAGCUGGGUGGAGUCAGAAGGUUGAUUUGGAACUAGCAGAGCAUUCAGUGGUUUCAGCAGGGAGCCUUCGAGUUGGAUGGAGUCAGGAACACACGGAGGACUUUGGGUAAGCAAACGUCCGUUGUGCAGACAUGCACCUCUGCCUGCUGCAGAGUGAUGUGUUUGUUGCAAGGGGAGGCACUGAGGGGAGUGACACAGGUAAGGAAGGAUGGAUGACCACAGAGGAAUGGCCACAUCCACACAGGGAUCUGGCCAAGACUGAUGCUGGGGUGAGGGGAGUGGGGAAGGGUGCUAGGGAACACACAUUUGUAGAGAAAGCAUCAAUUUGCUGCAUUCACUUGUAUUGACUUAUCAGUUAAAAUUAAACCUGAUACAAAGAUGGGAAAGAAGGGGAAUUUCAUCUCCUGUGAAGAGUGUAUGUUAUUAUCCAGUUAUUCCAGUGGAAGGUGAAGGAUACCACUGCCUGCUAGAAAGAAAUUUUGACUUCUGGGUGUUCAGGGGCACUGGACACAGCAAUUCCAUUUCCAGCACAAGGUAAUGCAAUCAGGCCCACUCAAGAUACCCCCAAGCCCAACUGGAAAACAGCACAACCAAAC